rnacentral:pre_miRNA from 1 species
UGUGUACUCCCUUCGUUCCAAAAUACUUGACUUCCAUUUGUCCAAAAAUGGAUGUACCUAUAUACUAAAACAUGUGUAGAUACAUAUAUAUUUUGACAAAUAGAAGGCAUGUAUUGUGGAACGGAGGGAGUAGAAU